rnacentral:rRNA from 1 species
UUUCGCAAUGCCCGAAAGGGUGACGAAGCGACGCCGCGUGAGUGACGAAGGCCUUCGGGUUGUAAAGCUCUGUCAGGGGUUAGGAAAUAUAAAUUCAAGAAAUUGGGUUUGUUUGACAAAGGCCCCAAAGGAAGCCACGGCUAACUCUGUGCCAGCAGCCGCGGUAAUACAGAGGUGGCAAGCGUUGUUCGGAAUUAUUGGGCGUAAAGAGCACGUAGGUGGAUUUGUAAGUCAGAUGUGAAAGCCUUCUAUUCAACUGAAGAAUUGCAUCUGAAACUGCAGAGCUUGAGUGUAGGAGGGGAGAGUGGAACUUCUGGUGGAGCGGUGAAAUGCGUAGAUAUCAGAAGGAACGCCGGUGGCGAAAGCGACUCUCUGGUCUAUUACUGACACUGAGUGUGCGAAAGCUAGGGGAGCAAACGGGAUUAGAUACCCCGGUAGUCCUAGCUGUAAACGAUGGGCACUAAGUAGAGGGGUUUUA